rnacentral:rRNA from 1 species
AAUUCCGGUUGAUCCCGCCGGAGGUGACUGCUAUCCGAAUCCGGCUUAGCCAUGCAAGUCGAGGGUUAAACCUCGGCGCACUGCUCAGUAACACGUAGUCAAUCUGCCCUGAGGUUCGGUCUAAUCCCGCGAAAGUGGGGCCGAGGACCGGGUAGGCGACAGACGCUGGAAUGCCCUGUCGCUGAACUCAGGAUUAGACUGCGGCCUUUCAGAUAGUCGCCAGAGUAACGUCCUGGCGAGUCUAUAACGGGUACGGGCCUUGAGAGAGGGAGCCCGGAGUUGGAUUCUGAGACAAGAAUCCAGGUCCUACGGGACGCAGCAGGCGCGAAAAUUCCACAAUGCGCGCAAGCG